UUUAAUUUUUUCAACGGAGAUAAAACCGGUUUUCUAUAGCACUACGAACCACAAGAACUGCCAUCAACGGAUGACGUAACAAAACGAUUACAUAAAGACGGUUAAAUAUUAUCGAUGUACUACUAAAGCGAUUGACUGCGUCAUUGACAUUGGCGGACGAAGAUCGCGGGCGACAGUGUACUAUUUGGCGCCGGUUCGCUGUGACUCAUACGGUUUUAGUCGAAACUGAUGAGAUUUUCGCGUGAAUCAAAGAAUGUGAACACAACAUUGACUGUCCAAGACUUUGGUGCUGGAAUUCUUCGGACAUAUUGCUCGUAAAGAGGGUCACAAUCUUGAACAGCUGAUGGUGACAGGAAAGGUAGAUGGCAAACGUCCCAGAGGAGGCAGUCCCACGAGAUGAUCGGACCAAAUACGAUCUUCUCUAAGCAUCAAUUUCCACAAUGCCCUUCAUGAAGCUAAGGAUCGCAGCAGAUGGAGGGAAAUCGUACGGGAGAAACUGAUGCAGCGGGGGAGUCUCGACCCUCAGUAAUGAGGAAAACGACGCGAGGAGGAGGAAAAUAAUGUUAAUCUAUCGUGACUGUGGAAUUACCUCAAAGAAAACGCGGCAGAACCAAAAUUUUAAGAGCAGGGUUGUCAACAGUUUUCGGCGCGCACUGCGGUACCGUAGGUCUGGUGUAGCCGGUGUGGUGGAGCUCGAUGGGGUUUAGUCGGUAGUCGUUCUGCGGGGCAAGUGCUUCGCGCGCCUUUUUAAAGGCGUAGUCUCCUGCGAGGGGUUCGGGGAGGUGGAGGACCUUGGCCCUCCUCGUCCCCCUCUUCCUCUCAGGAGGCGCCGGAGUCCGACAUAACCCGGUUCGUUUACCCCCCCGGACCGGGUGGGUAUCCGUAAAUGGAUUCACUAGCGUUAAAAAAAAUAUUCGAAUGUAGUAUAUCAUUUAGUAACAAUGUGAAGGCAGAUGAGUUGUCACUUAUCUCAAGCGUGUCUUUGAAUACUUUUGACAGAUUGUCAGGAUUCGUGAUUACAUUGAAAUGUUGACGCUUGGCGGUAGGUUGCUCAUAUUAUUAUAAGAUUCGCACCGCACCCAUAUACUAACCUAACCUCCUACUGCGCCUGUUCAGUGUAAUAAAGAGACCCGAUAUUUGCAGUUUACCUAGACUAUAAUAUUUGUACAAUAAAAAAAAUUAGAUAAAAAAAACGAAAGUUUACUAAUUCUUCGCGACUAGGGUUGGCGAUAUCUCCCGUAAAUCGAUUUUAGUCGUAGUUUAGUCCUAACAGAAUUAAUUCAAAAAGUUUCAAGUUGCGGAAUAUCGAUUUCAAGAAUCGAUAUUCGUCGAAUUUUCAAUAAUUUUAUAUGAGGAAAACAAAAAACAAAAAAACGAGUUAAUCACGUCACACAAAAGUCAAUCAGGACGCAAAUGAUGCAAUAUCAAUGAACUUAACGCCAUCCGCAGAGCAUUUUCAGACACAUAAAAAAAUACAUUGUUUCUUUUAUCUGUCGUG